ACACCAUAUGGAACAAUCCUUACACGUUUUUCCUUUUGAGAAGGGCCGAUGAGAACGUAAUGGCUAGGGUUGCCUCCAUCUGUGAUUAUGGCUCUGUCUAAUCAGGACUUAGAAAUCCUGAUGGCCCUUACCUGAU